rnacentral:sRNA from 1 species
GCAAUUCAUGAUACGCAGUCUCUGAGAUGAAAACAAAAGUGAGAAACAAAUACAUCAGAUGAUGCUAUGCAGCUCUGAAGGAAGAACAUGUAUUGCCAGGACCCCAACAUUUGUGCUGUGUUUGCUGUACAAGGAGGAAAAGUGGGAAGAAAGCAUGGCAUAAAAAGGGGGAGAAGACCUAGCAUGAGAAGCCCAGCUCAGCGGGCCAGAGGACCCUGGAUCCAUGAGAGUAAGCAUCCGGCCUUCGCAAAGCAACAGAUAAACUUGGAGAUGCCAAACUCCAGAGCGACAACAGAGUGAGACUGGGUCUGCAGCUCCACCUCAAGAAAAAAGAAGUGGGCAAGGUCCCUGACUCUUCCCACUGCUCCACUGAGCCCCCCACCAUCCUUGGUGCCAGCACUGUGAAGAUCAUUCUUGCCUGCCUGGCUGCCAUUCAGGUGACCUCCACAAUCUGGCCCCAGCAGAAAGAACUUGCUAGCAGCAUAUCAAUAGCAGAGAUGGAAGUCUGGUCAUAUGGUGCCCACAUCUAUUGAAGGAAACAUGCUGACACCAGAUAUCCCUGGCUCUCUGUCUUCAAGGCACAUGGUAGAACUAUACUUCCUAGCUUUCUGUGUGGCUGGGUGGGUCACAUGACAAGUUCAGACAGAUGAAUUAGGAUUAGAAGCAUUUAAUUGUUAAUACAUAUUCUAGUGCUCUUUCCUUCUGCCAUCACAACUGACAAUGUUUCAGACAGUGACUUCUCCAUCAGGCUGGUUCCAGAGUGAAAAUAGAGCCCAGCAGAGUCUGUACAUAAUAUAAUAUGGACAUAUAGGGUGAGUGAGAAAAUGCUUUUGUUGGGUUAAGCAUCUGAGGUUUGAUGGUUUGUUGCUUCUGCAGCACAUCCUUACCUAUCCUAACAAAUAUGAUUAUCAUUGACUAAACUGACAACAGAAGAGUCUUUCCACUUCUGCUGUGAUGAGGAACAGAGUUUUCCCUGUUAUAUCUUAAUAUUAGAUAGCAGCAGCCUCUGGAAAUAGUUCUAUCUCUACCACUUCUUACCCAUGUGGCAUAAAGCCAGCUACCAAACCUCUUCACAUUUCAGUUUUCCCUUUUAAAAGUGGAAGUAAAUAAGACCUUUCUCAUGGAGUUAUUGAUCAAAUGAAAUAAUUAAAUAAUGACUAUUUAAAUUUUAAAUUUAAAUGAAAAUUCAAAUGAAAUAAUGCCUAUGAAGUAUUUAUUUAGUCCAUAAUAUCCUCAGUAAACAGCAGUUAGCCUUACUAACACAAAGAAAAUGGACAAAGCCAUGCCAUUUUCCAAAGCAGUUUCUAGGACCACAUUAUCUCUAAAAAUCCCAACUUUCUGCUGUAAAUUUGAGCUAAACCAGAACAGGCUAAUCUAUUGCAAUGGCCUAUUCAUCCUUUUUCUUGGAGUUUAGCUAUCAGUCAUCUUGUUGCUGAGAACAAAGCCAGCCUAGUUGUUUGUAAGCAAGCCUCUAGAGAGACAGAAACUGUCUUGUAUUUCUUUGAAUAUCCUCUACUGCCUCUAACACUGUGCCUCGGCUAUAUUUCUGGAUCUUUAUUUAAUGUUUUGAAUGCUUCUUUUGUUUAAUUUCUGCCAUAUCCAUUAGGAAAACAACGUAAUCCUUCCUCCAACGCCGAUGGUGUAAGCCUCCAUGACCGGGCAACAUUUGCCCCCAUGUUUAAAGAAUUUAGUUCUGUAAGGCUGGUUGACCCAUCUGACAGGAAUUCCUGCACCGAGUGGUCAGUCAGUGAAGAUCUCUUUCCACUGGUAACUUUAUCAAGAAAGUAAGAUACAAGACUGUAUGUAAAGUAUAUUAUCCUAUGUGAAAUCAAGGGACAGAAAAUAACUGGAAGGAAAUAUUCCAAAAUGUUAGCAGUAGUUUCUCCCGGAGAAUGUGAUGUAUACAUUUGGAUGGGUGAUAUAUAAAGUACUUUUCAUAGAUCUGGGCAAGAGAUAUUUUAGAGGGCUCCACAUACCACAAUCACCCACAAAUAAAUGUAUUAAAGAACACACAGAUGCCUUUAUCACUCAGGAUGUGGCACUCAGAGCUGGCCCAGCAUAGUCUAUAACACUUAACAUCACUCUCAUGACCACACUGUUCAGGUCCUAGGGAAGUGUGCCUCUGUAUCUCUUCCCUGUAUCCUUAAAAGAAAAGGUGACCUAAUUUGAAAGUUGAUAAAAAUCAGGGAUUAUGAUGAUGUUGCUUCAGAAUUCUUGGAGGAUGUAAGAGAAAAAUAGUGCUGUUAUGAGAAGAACAAAACUUACCAAAUUCCUCCCUGAAGAUAACAUAAAUGCAAUAGAUUCUUUUACAACAAAGUGUCAUUUCUCAAUAAUGCCAAGAAUCCUUUUUCAUGCUUCUCUUCUUGUUCACAUUCCUGGUUCCCAUGCUACUCAAUUAGCAUAAUAUUCAGAAAAGUUGCAGAUGGUGAUUUAGGAACAUUUUGUAAUAUUAACAUUUCAUAUUACCCUUAAAUUUGCAUGCAUCAUAUGUGUAUCAUAGCACCAAUUCUUUAUAUUGGUAACUAGGUGGACAUAGAACAUUUACAAUUUGAAUAGUGUUAUCUCUAUAAAAACAAGAUUUAAUUAAAAUGUUAAUAUAUGAAAUGAAAUUUUGGCAUAUAUUAAUUAUAACUUGGAUUUUACCUUUUAAAGUUAAUAGAUCAUUUUGAAUAUUUUAAAAGACUUUUAUAAACAUAUAAAAU